rnacentral:RNase_P_RNA from 1 species
GAAGAAGUGAAACUGACCGAUAAGCCGGGUUCUGUCGUGGACAGUCAUUCAUCUAGGCCAGCAAUCGCUCACUGGCUCAAGCAGCCUACCCGGGUUCAGUACGGGCCGUACCUUAUGAACCCCUAUUUGGCCUUGCUCCGGGUGGAGUUUACCGUGCCACGGACUGUUACCAGCCGCGCGGUGCGCUCUUACCGCACCCUUUCACCCUUACCUGAUCCCACUUACGUGGGCCAUCGGCGGUUUGCUCUCUGUUGCACUGGUCGUGGGUUUCCCCCCCAGGCGUUACCUGGCACCCUGCCCUAUGGAGCCCGGACUUUCCUCCCCUCCGCCCGUCUCCCCGAAAGGACGACGACGAAGCGGCGACUGUCUGGUCAGCUUCGG